rnacentral:lncRNA from 1 species
CCUGGCCGCGCAAGGCGGGAAAGUGGGGGCGCUUUUGCGCCUCACGUUAAGUUUAGGGUCACGAGCACUCUUGUGGAGAUCGGGAGCGGUUGGGCUAGGGAUGAUGCCUCUUCCUCUUUCCCCUUCCCCUCCCUUCUUGUCCCCGCCUUUCCUCUGGGUCCUCCCGGGGACCACCCCCUACCCCUCGUCAGAGUCGCCCUGGGAGAGCCGAGGGCCUGAGGGUCGACCACCAAGGGCAGAGCCUAUCCCUUGGGGAGCUGCUGGAGGAGACAGGCAGCGCCGGGAGGUGGCUCACACCGCACCGCCGAGAGCGCUUUGCCCUCGCAUCGCUGAAAUUUAAUCACGGUCACAGGUUACAACGUUAGGGGUCGCUUUAGUUCAAAUAUCUUCAAGGUUUUCGUUUGCUCUUAAUCUAGGAAGAGCCGGAAAGGGUCCUGAGGGUGAAAGGGAGACUACUAAGGAAGAGUCACAGGUUGAGGAGGCAGGAGAAGGCUCAGCAAAUCCUCUUUCCACGCCACUAUCACCAUUUUCCUUUCCACCAAUCAGCGCCUGCCAGACGCUGAUUUUCCCAUCAGUGGAACAAGGAAUAAAUAUUCCCCAGCCGUCUAAAACAAGCGGUCCUAAGGCUUUUCGCUCUAGAAAUGGGACUUACUUUGCAGACCUCCCUUUAUCUGGGAGACAAAUCCAGCGUGAUUUAGCCUACCGGACCAUCAUAUCCAAUUUCUUCUUCAGCCCCUUCUGAAAGGGAGAUGCUACACACCACUCACCUUUCUGACUUCUGAUUCUCGUUGCCCUCAGAAUUGACACCCCCUUUUCUCUCCCCCCACCCACCACACGCACAUGCACACAGACAUACACACGCGAACUUCAAGACAAUUUUUGCAUCGCUUAACACAUUUUCACCUCUUUCAGAGCUGGAAGACAGCUGUUCCUGGAUCACACCAGAAUGGAGAAGCAAGCUCCUCCCACUAGCAGAAAGCCUUUGCUUUCUGUGCCUGGAUUCGGAAGAUUAGUUAAGCACUGGAAGAGGAGGGGGGAAACAACAACUCGUUUUUGCUGUCUGUAUUCUUAAGGAGGGAAAGCUGCUCAAGUACAAAGAAGGGAACUAGAAGUUAAAAUAAAGUUUUUUUAAUUUUUCUUUUCAUUAUUGAUGGACAGCAUGGUCUUCAGUAAAUCUUUAGCCUCUCUGAAUAUAACGUUAAACUAAUUGAAUGGCUUGUACCUCAUAAGAAAUAUGAAGUUAUGAAGUAAUAACAUAUUUGGAAGCAUUACUAACAUGCAUAUUCUGUUCAUAACUACAAUAUUCAUGUUUUGUUUUCUCUUUGCUAAGUGAAAUAUAAAUAUUUUACCAGACCAUAAUAGGAUUCUUUUAUCUGGAUUUAAUUCAUUAAUUUUGCUAUAGAUUAACAUUCUAUGAAAUAUAUGCUUAACCUAGACUUUGUUUACCCCCAUAGAACAACUGAAUUUUUAGGUAUGGUAUGUGGUAAACUUGUGCUAUAGCAAAGACAGCAGAGUAGAAUGGCAUGAAAAUAAAGAUGCUGCCCAUUAACAAUUGAUUAAAGAGAGGACUGAUUUAAUGUGUUUAAGUUAAGAAAAUACAACGUUUAUUAUCUUUGGAUAAUAUUCCGUAUUUGUUGUGAACACAAGGGGUGAUGUAAUGUUGAUGCUGGAGCCACCUGCUUCUUAUUCUCUAUCUGCACCUUCCUCUCACCUUCUGUAAACCUGUGAGAGAGACGAGGUAGUGAGAUUGCGAUAGGCUUCUUGUGUAAUUUCAUAGUGGGUAGAGUAGAGAAAGCCUAAUGCAUACUGUUGGGAGAUCAUUAUGUAUGAUUUUGGAAAGGGGGUGAGCAUGAGAUGGGGGAAUAGGGUUACUCUGAAGAAAUGGGAAGAGCAAUCAAGGAGAAGCAUAGUAUUCAGAUUCUCUAAUUUGACCCCAUGGCCAACUUCAUAUUGUUUCCACUAGAUAUCAUUUUAAAUAUUCCUGUGGUUUCGUGGUCCUAAGAAUAUGAAGGCAUGCAAGAUUCCAAGAUUAAAGAUGUUAAAGCCAGAUAGAAAAGAUAUUUAAAUAUUUCAAAAUCUAACAAGUUCAAAUGACUUUAGUUUUAGAAAGAAAAAAACACAUUAAUGAGCCCAAGAAAUACACGCAACUCUGCAACUCUGGUGAGCAUGAUAGACUUCUAAGAGUAAAUGUACUAGAUACAACCUAAAUUCAGGGACUUAUUAAAGCUCUACUACUCAUUACUAGUGACUCAGAGCAAGUAUCUAUAACCUCUCUAAUCUCUAGUUUUCUCAUUAAAAAAUGGGCAUGAUAUUUUACUUGUCUUGUUUGAUUGUUGUAAGGAAUGAAUAAUGUGGCUCAUAGCAAAGAGCCAGGCAGAGUGGAAGCUCUCAGUACAAGUAGCUAUUGUUAUUAUCUAGCCUCCAUGUUUUGGGUGUCCUAGGACAUGCUUUUUUUUUUUUUCCAUUGCAGUAGAUUUCCACCUGUUCCCAUCCUCCACAGUCUCCCAUCCCACCAGCAACACACGUGAGAUAUCUGAUGCCUUCCCAUCAAUAACUCUCACUUAGUAUGGGUAAGCAAAAAAUUUCCAACCAGGGAUGGAAGUUGUGGAGAGAUAGAGUGGGAAAGCUCAAGGAGCAUUGAUAGGGAUCAUUAAUUAAAAAUCUACCAAACAUCUCUUUCUCUCCCUAAUGUGCGAGUUACAAUAACAUCACUCAAAGCAGUUUGCAGCCACAGCUUGAAGAAAUACAGUAACAAUGACAGAAUUAACAUUCACUAUCUUUAUUAACAUUUUUACUUUCUUAAACCUUGUUUCUUUCAAAAGACACUGGCAUAGUCCUGUAUGAAUUAUGUGGAUUUGCCAAGAGAAAAAAAUAAAAUGAUACAACAAAUGGUGUUCCAAGUUUGACAGACCCUUUGUGCCAGUGGCUCUGAAAGGCUUCAGAAUGAAUAUCCAAUUCAGAAAUCAGUCCCUAAUAUUUCAGAUUAGUGAAGAAUCAACAGACUGAACAGCAUUUGUAUUCAGAAAGGAAGAAAAUAAAUGAAUUUUUAAAAUAUCACGG